GUGCCAGCCGCCGCGGUAAUACGUAGGGGGCGAGCGUUGUCCGGAAUUACUGGGUGUAAAGGGCGCGUAGGCGGUUGUUUAAGUCAGGUGAUAAAGGUCACGGCUCAACCGUGGUAGUUCAUCUGAUACUGGACGGCUUGAGUGCAGGAGAGGGGAGUGGAAUUCCCAGUGUAGCGGUGAAAUGCGUAGAUAUUGGGAGGAACACCAGUGGCGAAGGCGGCUCCCUGGCCUGCAACUGACGCUGAGGCGCGAAAGCUGGGGGAGCGAACAGGAUUAGAUACCCUGGUAGUCCCAGCCGUAAACGAUGAGUGCUAGGUGUAGGAGGUAUCGACCCCUUCUGUGCCGCAGUUAACGCAAUAAGCACUCCACCUGGGGAGUACGGCCGCAAGGUUGAAACUCAAAUAAAUUGACGG
rnacentral:rRNA from 1 species